GAGAGAAAGCGUGCGUUUGUUUGUGUGAGAGAAACUGCGUGGUUUGUUGGAGAAGUUGUGUUGAGAGAAAGCGUGGUGUGUUUGUAUGAGAGAAAGCUGUUGCGUGUGUUUGUAUGAGAGAAAGCGUGCGUAUGAGAGAAAGCGUGCGGUGUUUUGUAUGAGAACGUGGUGUUUGUACGA
rnacentral:lncRNA from 1 species